UACGGAGGGUCCAAGCGUUAUCCGGAAUCAUUGGGUUUAAAGGGUCCGUAGGCGGUUUUGUAAGUCAGAGGUGAAAGCCCAUCGCUCAACGGUGGAACGGCCAUUGAUACUGCAAGACUUGAAUUAUUAGGAAGUAACUAGAAUAUGUAGUGUAGCGGUGAAAUGCUUAGAUAUUACAUGGAAUACCAAUUGCGAAGGCAGGUUACUACUAAUUGAUUGACGCUGAUGGACGAAAGCGUGGGGAGCGAACAGG
rnacentral:rRNA from 1 species